UGAAAAGUUUGUUCGGGUUA
rnacentral:miRNA from 1 species